rnacentral:rRNA from 1 species
AGCAGCCGCGGUAAUUCCAGCUCCAAUAGCGUAUAUUAAAGUUGCUGCAGUUAAAAAGCUCGUAGUUGAAUUUCGGGAUCAAUAUGUUGGCCGUGCCUUGGUGCGUACUAGUUUAUUGAUUUCUCCCUUCUGACGAACUAUGAUGCCAUUAAUUUGGUGUCAUGGGGAAUCAGGACUGUUACUUUGAAAAAUUAGAGUGUUUAAAGCAGGCUCACGCUUGAAUACAUUAGUAUGGAAUAAUAAAAUAGGACGUUUGAUUCUAUUUUGUUGGUUUCUAGGAUCGAUGUAAUGAUUAAUAGGGAUAGUUGGGGGCAUUAGUAUUCAAUUGUCAGAGGUGAAAUUCUUGGAUUUAUUGAAGACUAACUACUGCGAAAGCAUUUGCCAAGGAUGUUUUCAUUAAUCAAGAACGAAAGUUAGGGGAUCGAAGACGAUCAGAUACCGUCGUAGUCU